rnacentral:lncRNA from 1 species
GUACCAUCGUCUUGCCUGCCAGAAUCGGCUGUAGUCAAACCACUAAGGAAGGAAAUCUGGUCGGCCUGCCAAUAUCAUUGGGCAACCCGCUUACCAACCUUCCUACAGCUAUUUACCAUUUGUUCCUAUGCUUACCAACCUUCCUACAGCUAUUUACCAUUUGUUCCUAUGCUUACCAACCUUCCAACAGCUCUUUACCAUUUGUUCCUUUUUUUUGUAUGAUUCUGCAGUCCUGUAGCAUUGGGCAGUAGUUCUACCAUCUCAAGUUCUGGUCAUUGU